UACGGAGGGGGCUAGCGUUGUUCGGAAUUACUGGGCGUAAAGCGCACGUAGGCGGCUUUGUAAGUUAGAGGUGAAAGCCCAGGGCUUAACCCUGGAAAUUGCCUUUAAGACUGCAUCGCUAGAAUCGUGGAGAGGUAAGUGGAAUUCCGAGUGUAGAGGUGAAAUUCGUAGAUAUUCGGAAGAACACCAGUGGCGAAGGCGACUUACUGGACACGUAUUGACGCUGAGGUGCGAAAAGCCGUGGGGGAGCAAACAGG
rnacentral:rRNA from 1 species